GCAUAUCAAUAAGCGGAGGAAAAGAAACCAACAGGGAUUGCCCUAGUAACGGCGAGUGAAGCGGCAACAGCUCAAAUUUGAAAUCUGGCUCUCGGGCCCGAGUUGUAAUUUGUAGAGGAUACUUUUGAUGCGGUGCCUUCCGAGUUCCCUGGAACGGGACGCCAUAGAGGGUGAGAGCCCCGUCUGGUUGGAUGCCAAAUCUCUGUAAAGUUCCUUCGACGAGUCGAGUAGUUUGGGAAUGCUGCUCUAAAUGGGAGGUAUAUGUCUUCUAAAGCUAAAUACCGGCCAGAGACCGAUAGCGCACAAGUAGAGUGAUCGAAAGAUGAAAAGCACUUUGAAAAGAGAGUUAAAAAGUACGUGAAAUUGUUGAAAGGGAAGCGUUUAUGACCAGACUUGGGCUUGGUUAAUCAUCUGGGGUUCUCCCCAGUGCACUUUUCCAGUCCAGGCCAGCAUCAGUUCUCGCCGGGGGAUAAAGACUUCGGGAAUGUGGCUCUCUUCGGGGAGUGUUAUAGCCCGUUGUGUAAUACCCUGGGGGGGACUGAGGUUCGCGCAUCUGCAAGGAUGCUGGCGUAAUGGUCAUCAACGACCCGUCUUGAAACACGGACCAAGGAGUCGUCUUCGUAUGCGAGUGUUCGGGUGUCAAACCCCUACGCGUAAUGAAAGUGAACGCAGGUGAGAGCUUCGGCGCAUCAUCGACCGAUCCUGAUGUUCUCGGAUGGAUUUGAGUAAGAGCAUACGGGGCCGGACCCGAAAGAAGGUGAACUAUGCCUGUAUAGGGUGAAGCCAGAGGAAACUCUGGUGGAGGCUCGCAGCGGUUCUGACGUGCAAAUCGAUCGUCAAAUAUGGGCAUGGGGGCGAAAGACUAAUCGAACCUUCUAGUAGCUGGUUUCCGCCGA
rnacentral:rRNA from 2 species